rnacentral:lncRNA from 1 species
AAAUCAAUCAAAAUCAACUAGCAAUCGAAAACAACUACAAAAAAUCGAAAACAACUAUAAACUAUAGAAAACAACUAUAAAAUAUUAAACUCAACUGUUAAAUUGUUCCUCGAUCGGCCUGUAAGUAACUACAAAUUUAUGCAAAAUUUAAUCGAAAAAACAUCACAAAACAUCUCAAAUCAAAAAUUCAAAAAGUAUUCGACACGCUCUAAAACCCUAGGCACGAGAUCCGCCAUUCACCUUUUCUAUCCCUUCACUUUUUCAUCUCCACUUUUAUGGAGAUCCGUCGUCGGCACCACGAACAACAAUGCAAGAAUGGAAGCAAUU